CCAGUCGGCCGGACAGCCGCUGCCGCAAGCGCCGAAAGGCCGCGGUGGAGGAAAGUCCGGGCUCCACGGAGACACGGUGCCGGGUAACGCCCGGCGAGGGCGACCUCAGGGAAAGUGCAACAGAAAGCAAACCGCCGCGGACCUGUCCGCGGUAAGGGUGAAAGGGUGGGGUAAGAGCCCACCGCGCCACCGGCAACGGGGGCGGCACGGUAAACCCCACCGGGAGCAAAACCGAAUAGGGGCAGCAUGGGCGCAAGCCCGGCCGGUUUCCAGGCUUGCUGCCCGGGUUGGUUGCUAGAGGCGUCCGGCAACGGGCGUCCCAGAUGAAUGGCUGUCACGUCCGCGCAAGCGGGCCAUACAGAACCCGGCUUACAGGCCGACUGGUCCU
rnacentral:RNase_P_RNA from 1 species